rnacentral:rRNA from 1 species
UACAGAGGUCUCAAGCGUUGUUCGGAUUCAUUGGGCGUAAAGGGUGCGUAGGUGGCGCGCUAAGUCAGGUGUGAAAUUUCGGAGCUCAACUCCGAAACUGCAUUUGAUACUGGCGUGCUUGAGGACUGGAGAGGAGACUGGAAUUUACGGUGUAGCAGUGAAAUGCGUAGAGAUCGUAAGGAAGACCAGUGGCGAAGGCGGGUCUCUGGACAGUUCCUGACACUGAGGCACGAAGGCCAGGGGAGCAAACAGG